CAAUAGCGUAUAAUAACGUUGUUGCAGUUAAAAAGCUCGUAGUUGGAUUUCUGGAGGGAGCGUCGGCCCGUAUUUACGAGUGCGUGACGUCUCUGUCCAUCCUUGCGGGAAGGCACGGCAUUGAUUUGUUGUGUCGGAUCGCAUCAUUUACUGUGAAAAAAUUAGAGUGUUCAAAGCAGGCUUUCGCUUGAAUACAUUAGCAUGGAAUAAUAAGAUAGGACUUUGGUGCUAUUUUGUUGGUUGAGCCUAAAGUAAUGAUUAAUAGGGAUAGUUGGGGGCACCUGUAUUGCGUUGUCAGAGGUGAAAUUCUUGGAUUUACGCAAGACAAACAGCUGCGAANGNGUCUGCNAAGGAUGUUUNCAUUA
rnacentral:rRNA from 1 species